rnacentral:rRNA from 1 species
UGGGGGAUUUUGCACAAUGGGCGCAAGCCUGAUGCAGCGACGCCGCGUGAGGGAUGAAGGCCUUCGGGUUGUAAACCUCUUUCGCUGGGUUGAAAGGCCAUGCUUUGGGUGUGGUUGACUUGAACUGGUAAAGAAGUACCGGCUAACUACGUGCCAGCAGCCGCGGUAAUACGUAGGGUACUAGCGUUGUCCGGAUUUAUUGGGCGUAAAGGGCUUGUAGGUGGUUUGUCGCGUCAGUCGUGAAAUCCUGUGGCUUAACCAUGGGCUUGCGGUGGGUACGGGCAGGCGUGAGUGCGGUAGGGGAGACUGGAAUUCCGGGUGUAGAGGGGGAAUGCGCAGAUAUCAGGAGGAACACCGGUGGCGAAGGCGGGUCUCUGGGCCGUUACUGACGCUGAGGAGCGAAAGCGUGGGGAGCGAACAGG